rnacentral:rRNA from 1 species
GACGAACGCUGGCGGCGUGCUUAACACAUGCAAGUCGAACGGAAAGGCCCUGCGUUUGUGGGUUGCUCGUUUGGCGAACGGGUGUGUAACACGUGUGUAUCCUGCCCUUGACUUUGUGAUAACUUUAGGAAACUCGGGCUAUUACCCGAUAUGAGCUUCUGCUCCGUGUUGUUGGUUGGAGAGAUUCGGCGUUUGGGGCUGUACUCGCUGGUUCUCAUCUUGUUGGUGUGGUAGUGGCUUACCAAGGGUUUGACGGGUAGCCGGCCUGAGAGGGUUACCGGCGUCAUGGGGACUGAGAUACGGCCCAGACGCCUAUGGGAGGCAGCAGUGGAGAGUAUGACAGAGUGGGCGGAAGUCUGAUGCAGAGGUGCCGCGUGCGGAAUAACGGCCUUCGGGUUGUGAACAGCUUUCGAAUGUGACGAAGAGUGAGUGACGGUAAUGGGUAAAGAAGCACCGGCUAACUACGUG